rnacentral:rRNA from 1 species
GACGAACGCUGGCGGCGUGCUUAACACAUGCAAGUCGAACGGAAAGGCCCUGCUUUUGUGGGGUGCUCGAGUGGCGAACGGGUGAGUAACACGUGAGUAACCUGCCCUUGACUUUGGGAUAACUUCAGGAAACUGGGGCUAAUACCGGAUAGGAGCUCCUGCUGCAUGGUGGGGGUUGGAAAGUUUCGGCGGUUGGGGAUGGACUCGCGGCUUAUCAGCUUGUUGGUGGGGUAGUGGCUUACCAAGGCUUUGACGGGUAGCCGGCCUGAGAGGGUGACCGGCCACAUUGGGACUGAGAUACGGCCCAGACUCCUACGGGAGGCAGCAGUGGGGAAUAUUGCACAAUGGGCGGGAGCCUGAUGCAGCAACGCCGCGUGCGGGAUGACGGCCUUCGGGUUGUAAACCGCUUUCGCCUGUGACGAAGCGUGAGUGAAGGUAAUGGGUAAAGAAGCACCGGCUAAAUACGUGC